CUUGGUGGCGAUGGCGAAGAGGAUACACCCGUUCCCAUUCCGAACACGGAAGUUAAGCUCUUCAGCGCCGAUGGUAGUUGGGGGCUUCCCCCUGCGAGAGUAGGACGUUGCCAAGC
rnacentral:rRNA from 1 species